rnacentral:rRNA from 1 species
GAUGAACGCUAGCGGGAGGCCUAACACAUGCAAGCCGAGCGGUAUUGUUUCUUCGGAAAUGAGAGAGCAGCGUACGGGUGCGGAACACGUGUGCAACCUGCCUUUAUCUGGGGGAUAGCCUUUCGAAAGGAAGAUUAAUACUCCAUAAUAUAUUGAACGGCAUCGUUUAAUAUUGAAAGCUCCGGCGGAUAGAGAUGGGCACGCGCAAGAUUAGCUAGUUGGUGAGGUAACGGCUCACCAAGGCGAUGAUCUUUAGGGGGCCUGAGAGGGUGAUCCCCCACACUGGUACUGAGACACGGACCAGACUCCUACGGGAGGCAGCAGUGAGGAAUAUUGGUCAAUGGGUGCAAGCCUGAACCAGCCAUCCCGCGUGAAGGACGACUGCCCUAUGGGUUGUAAACUUCUUUUGUAUAGGGAUAAACCUACCCUCGUGAGGGUAGCUGAAGGUACUAUACGAAUAAGCACCGGCUAACUCCGUGCCAGCAGCCGCAGUAAUACGGAGGGUGCAAGCGUUAUCCGGAUUUAUUGGGUUUAAAGGGUCCGUAGGCGGACUUAUAAGUCAGUGGUGAAAGCCUGUCGCUUAACGAUAGAACUGCCAUUGAUACUGUAAGUCUUGAGUAUAUUUGAGGUAGCUGGAAUAAGUAGUGUAGCGGUGAAAUGCAUAGAUAUUACUUAGAACACCAAUUGCGAAGGCAGGUUACCAAGAUAUAACUGACGCUGAGGGACGAAAGCGUGGGGAGCGAACAGGAUUAGAUACCCUGGUAGUCCACGCCGUAAACGAUGCUAACUCGUUUUUGGGCUUUAGGGUUCAGAGACCAAGCGAAAGUGAUAAGUUAGCCACCUGGGGAGUACGCUCGUAAGAGUGAAACUCAAAGGAAUUGACGGGGGCCCGCACAAGCGGUGGAUUAUGUGGUUUAAUUCGAUGAUACGCGAGGAACCUUACCAAGACUUAAAUGGGAAUUGACAGCUUUAGAAAUAGAGCUUUCUUCGGACAAUUUUCAAGGUGCUGCAUGGUUGUCGUCAGCUCGUGCCGUGAGGUGUUAGGUUAAGUCCUGCAACGAGCGCAACCCCUGUCACUAGUUGCCAUCAUUCAGUUGGGGACUCUAGUGAGACUGCCUACGCAAGUAGAGAGGAAGGUGGGGUUGACGUCAAAUCAUCACGGCCCUUACAUCUUGGGCCACACACGUAAUACAAUGGCCGGUACAGAGGGCAGCUACACAGCGAUGUGAUGCAAAUCUCGAAAGCCGGUCUCAGUUCGGAUUGGAGUCUGCAACUCGACUCUAUGAAGCUGGAAUCGCUAGUAAUCGCGCAUCAGCCAUGGCGCGGUGAAUACGUUCCCGGGCCU